UCGGGAAUUUUGGACAAUGGGCGAAAGCCUGAUCCAGCCAUGCCGCGUGUGUGAAGAAGGUCUUCGGAUUGUAAAGCACUUUAAGUUGGGAGGAAGGGCAGUAAGUUAAUACCUUGCUGUUUUGACGUUACCGACAGAAUAAGCACCGGCUAACUCUGUGCCAGCAGCCGCGGUAAUACAGAGGGUGCAAGCGUUAAUCGGAAUUACUGGGCGUAAAGCGCGCGUAGGUGGUUUGUUAAGUUGGAUGUGAAAUCCCCGGGNUCAACCUGGGAACUGCAUUCAAAACUGACAAGCUAGAGUAUGGUAGAGGGUGUGGAAUUUCCUGUGUAGCGGUGAAAUGCGUAGAUAUAGGAAGGAACACCAGUGGCGAAGGCGACCACCUGGACUGAUACUGACACUGAGGUGCGAAAGCGUGGGGAGCAAACAGGAUUAGAUACCCCAGUAGUCCCUGAGCGGGCUGGCAAGGCGCAU
rnacentral:rRNA from 1 species